ensembl:snRNA U6 U6 spliceosomal RNA
GUGUACCGGGCCUCUCAUAUACUGUAAUUGGAACGAUACAGAUUAGCAUGGCCCCUGUGCAAGGAUGACAUGCAAAUUCGUGAAGCAUUCCAUAUUUAA